rnacentral:rRNA from 1 species
UACAGAGGCCCCAAGCAUUAUCCGGAAUCACUGGGCGUAAAGGGUGUGUAGGCGGUCGUGUUAGUCGACUGUGAAAGAUCUUGGGCUUAACCCAGGAGACGCAAUCGAAACGGCACGACUUUGAGGAUGUGAGAGGUAAAGGGAACUCAUGGUGUAGGGGUGAAAUCCGUUGAUAUCAUGGGGAACACCAAAUGCGAAGGCACUUUACUGGCACACUCCUGACGCUGAGACACGAAAGCGUGGGAAUCGAAUGGG